AAUAGAUACCCGGGUAGUCCACGCCGUAAACGAUGAGUGCUAAGUGUUAGAGGGUUUCCGCCCUUUAGUGCUGCAGCAAACGCAUUAAGCACUCCGCCUGGGGAGUACGGUCGCAAGACUGAAACUCAAAGGAAUUGACGGGGGCCCGCACAAGCGGUGGAGCAUGUGGUUUAAUUCGAAGCAACGCGAAGAACCUUACCAGGUCUUGACAUCCCGUGACAACUCUAGAGAUAGGGCAUUCCCUUUCGGGGGACACGGUGACAGGUGGUGCAUGGUUGUCGUCAGCUCGUGUCGUGAGAUGUUGGGUUAAGUCCCGCAACGAGCGCAACCCUUGAUCUUAGUUGCCAGCAUUCAGUUGGGCACUCUAAGGUGACUGCCGGUGACAAACCGGAGGAAGGUGGGGAUGACGUCAAAUCAUCAUGCCCCUUAUGACCUGGGCUACACACGUGCUACAAUGGAUGGUACAAAGGGCAGCGAAACCGCGAGGUUAAGCCAAUCCCAUAAAACCAUUCUCAGUUCGGAUUGCAGG
rnacentral:rRNA from 1 species